UGGCCCCAGCUGGAGCACUCACGCGGCCGCUUGGCUGGGCCCUCGGAGUGUCUGAUUUCCCACCGUGUGCAAGAGGUGGGAGGAGCCCAUUACGUAAAGCAGGUGAAGGGGCCCAAGAACAAAACCUACUCCCCACCAGAGUCAGAGAAGGGAGCCGGACAGAAAGCGGGCAUUACAGACCCGGGUCACGCAGUGGACAAGGACUAUGAGGAGUCCCCUUCGGGACCACAGGCAGCCUCAGCAGUCCUGGCCACACCAACCAGGAAAAGGGGACACUCAGCAGCAUCUGGAGACGCUGUUGGCCAUCGCUCCCGAGAAAGGACGCGGCUGGUGUCCCGCGGGGAAAGGCCUGCAGUACGGAUGAGGGGCCCGCGUGCAGGGAGCCCCCGACGCCAAGACGCCAAGACGGCGGAGAAAGUUCGCCAGAGCGGACGGCGACUGGAGGGAGGCACUGGGACUCUCCUCGUCUGUACGCUGGGUAAACACUGUGCCCCGCCUGCC